rnacentral:rRNA from 1 species
GAUGAACGCUAGCGGCAGGCCUAAUACAUGCAAGUCGAACGGUGUCUUCGGACAUAGUGGCGCACGGGUGCGUAACACGUAUGCAACCUACCUUACAUCGGGGGAUAGCCUUUCGAAAGGGAGAUUAAUACCGCAUAAGACAGUAGCUGGGCAUCCAGCAGCUGUUAAAGAUUUAUCGAUGUAAGAUGGGCAUGCGUCCAAUUAGUUAGUUGGCGAGGUAAUGGCUCACCAAGACUUUGAUUGGUAGGGGAACUGAGAGGUCAAUCCCCCACACUGGCACUGAGAUACGGGCCAGACUCCUACGGGAGGCAGCAGUAGGGAAUAUUGGGCAAUGGACGCAAGUCUGACCCAGCCAUGCCGCGUGCAGGAUGAAGGCGUUAUGCGUUGUAAACUGCUUUUAUACAGGAAGAAACGACUCUUGCGAGAGGCAUUGACGGUACUGUAUGAAUAAGCACCGGCUAACUCCGUGCCAGCAGCCGCAGUAA